rnacentral:rRNA from 1 species
UAGGGAAUCUUCCACAAUGAACGCAAGUCUGAUGGAGCAACGCCGCGUGAGUGAAGAAGGUUUUCGGAUCGUAAAGCUCUGUUGUUGGUGAAGAAGGAUAGAGGCAGUAACUGGUCUUUAUUUGACGGUAAUCAACCAGAAAGUCACGGCUAACUACGUGCCAGCAGCCGCGGUAAUACGUAGGUGACAAGCGUUGUCCGGAUUUAUUGGGCGUAAAGCGAGCGCAGGCGGAAUGAUAAGUCUGAUGUGAAAGCCCACGGCUCAACCGUGGAACUGCAUCGGAAACUGUCAUUCUUGAGUGCAGAAGAGGAGAGUGGAAUUCCAUGUGUAGCGGUGGAAUGCGUAGAUAUAUGGAAGAACACCAGUGGCGAAGGCGGCUCUCUGGUCUGCAACUGACGCUGAGGCUCGAAAGCAUGGGUAGCGAACAGG